rnacentral:rRNA from 1 species
GUCGAACGGCAGCACGGANAGCUUGCUCUCUGGUGGCGAGUGGCGAACGGGUGAGUAAUAUAUCGGAACGUGUCCAAUAAUGGGGGAUAACGAGUCGAAAGAUUCGCUAAUACCGCAUACGCCCUACGGGGGAAAGCAGGGGAUCGUAAGACCUUGCGUUAAUGGAGCGGCCGAUAUCUGAUUAGCUUGUUGGUGAGGUAAAGGCUCACCAAGGCGACGAUCAGUAGCUGGUUUGAGAGAACGACCAGCCACACUGGAACUGAGACACGGUCCAGACUCCUACGGGAGGCAGCAGUGGGGAAUUUUGGACAAUGGGGCAACCCUGAUCCAGCCAUUCCGCGUGAGUGAAGAAGGCCUUCGGGUUGUAAAGCUCUUUCGCGAGGGAAGAAAACUUAUGAUCGAAUAAAUCAUGAGGUUGACGGUACCUUGAUAAGAAGCACCGGCUAACUACGUGCCAGCAGCCGCGGUAAUACGUAGGGUGCGAGCGUUAAUCGGAAUUACUGGGCGUAAAGCGUGCGCAGGCGGUUUUGUAAGUCGGAUGUGAAAUCCCCGGGCUCAACCUGGGAACUGCGUUCGAAACUGCAAGGCUAGAGUGUGUCAGAGGGGGGUAGAAUUCCACGUGUAGCAGUGAAAUGCGUAGAGAUGUGGAGGAAUACCAAUGGCGAAGGCAGCCCCCUGGGAUAACACUGACGCUCAUGCACGAAAGCGUGGGGGGCAAACAGGAUUAGAUACCCUGGUAGUCCACGCCCUAAACGAUGUCAACUAGUUGUUGGUAGAGUAAAAUCUAUGAGUAACGUAGCUAACGCGUGAAGUUGACCGCCUGGGGAGUACGGUCGCAAGAUUAAAACUCAAAGGAAUUGACGGGGGCCCGCACAAGCGGUGGAUUAUGUGGNUUAAUUCGAUGCAACGCGAAAAACCUUACCUGG